AAUUCUGAAGCCAGACCGUCUUUCCUCACAGCUCCACGGCUGCAUCUCCGUGGGCACGCAAGCUUCCCCUGGUUACCUGAGCUGCUCCUGCCGUCUCCCGCCUGGGCUUCGCCGUGGUGCACCCGAUCCCGGAAUCGUGCGUCUGCGCCCUGCGAAAGAAGGACCUGCUGGCGGAGCUCCGGCCGGGGUCUCCUGCCUCGCAGCUGGGCGAGGGGACUUGGAGGACAGGGUGAAGCUGCAGAAGACCUGGGGUGGGAUGGCUAGAGAGGACGCCAAGGACUGGGGAAGGGGAAGUUAGGAAUACCUUACAUCCAAUGCCCACCCGUGCUCCGCAGGGCAAGGGCAGCCGUCGCCUCGGCCGCGUGCACCCAGCUCAGGCUGUUCCCAGGGAUUUAGUCUGGGGGGACAACCCAUGGCGAGAUGUGGUGGCAUUUUACCUCAGAGUGGAGCUGAAGAUGGAUAAACAAGGCUCACAGGCAGAAGGAAUUUUCCUUGUCUUGGAUGAGACUUUUGACUUGGACUUUUGGGUUAAGGAUUUACAGAAAGCGUGGUGCUGGCAUCUGAUCAGCUUCUGGGGUGGCCUCAGGAAGCUUACAAUCAUGGUGGCAUUUGAAGUGGAAGCGAGAGAGAGAAGAGGAGAUGCAACACACUUUUAAACAAGAUUUCAGGAGAACUCAUUCACUAUGUUCUGGAGACCAGAAGGCCAAAAUCAAAAGUAUGGGCAGGCUUGAUUUCUUUAGAAGACUCCAGCGGAGAACUGUGUCUCCUUGCUUCUGAUUCUACAUCUCCAUCCAUGGGCCACUGUUUCAGCAACCUCAGCCAGUGCAACACAACCUCAGCCAAGAAGAGUAUGCAGAGAAAGGAGUCCCCUACCUGCCACAAAACUGUUGUCUGAAAACUGUCUCAUAUUGUCUCAAGUUGUCAUUCAUUGUGAAUUAGACCUGUUUAACAUGUAAUCUGCAACAUGCUUCACUGUCUAAUUUUCCAGAGCCCCUCAUAUAAGGAACUGUAUUAUUGGUAUAAUCAUCAUGGUGAAGAAGUUGGUAUGUGGGGGAGAGAUGACAGAAACAGAGAGUAAGUCAGAGCUGGCUGCCUGACAGAUAAAAAGGAAAUGACCAAAAAAAAAAAAAAAGACACAGAAGAAUACUUUGUUGUCCACACAGAAAAGGGAAGUGUAGGUAAGACAGCAGUAGACUAAGAUUCUUAAGACUCAAGUUCUAGUCUUAUUUAUUAGCUAUGGGAGGCCUUGAGGGAGUUCUAGAAUUAAGUGAUCUCUCUUUAUAAAAUAGGAACAGUAAUAACUUCCUGGCUAACUCCCUGGCUGUCUCACAAUGCUGUAGUAGUAAGAAAUAAUUUUAUAAUUAAAGACUAUUUUAGGGCUGAUUACAUUUUUGGGCAGUGGCUCAUACAUGUAAUUUCAACAUUUUGGGAGGCCAAGGUGGGCGGAUUGCUUGAGCCCAGGAAUUCAAGACCAGGCUGGGCAACACAGACCUUGUCACUACAAAAGAAAAAAACAUUAGCUAGGCGUGGUGAUGUAUGCCUGUGGUCCCAGCUACUCAGGAAGCUGAGACAGGAGGAUCACCUGAGCCUGGGAGGUCGAGGCUACAGUGAGCCAUGAUCACACUACUGCACUC
rnacentral:lncRNA from 10 species